rnacentral:rRNA from 1 species
AUUCGAAGCAACGCGAAAGAACCUUUACCAGGUCUUGACAUCCUGCUGACCAUCCGGGUAACGCCGGACUUCCUUCGGGACAGCAGAGACAGGUGGUGCAUGGUUGUCGUCAGCUCGUGUCGUGAGAUGUUGGGUUAAGUCCCGCAACGAGCGCAACCCUUGUUCUCAGUAGCCAGCGGUUUAAGCCGGGCACUCUGGGGAGACUGCCGGGGAUAACCCGGAGGAAGGCGGGGAUGACGUCAAAUCAUCAUGCCCCUUAUGAUCUGGGCUACACACGUGCUACAAUGGCUGCUACAAAGAGAGGCGAAUCCGCGAGGAAGAGCAAAUCCCAAAAAGGCGGCCCCAGUUCGGAUUGUAGUCUGCAACUCGACUACAUGAAGCUGGAAUCGCUAGUAAUCGCGAAUCAGCAUGUCGCGGUGAAUGCGUUCCCGGGUCUUGUACACACCGCCCGUCAAACCAUGGGAGUUGGUAAUGCCCGAAGUCAGUGACCCAACCGCAAGGAGGGAGCUGCCGAAGGCAGGACCAGUGACUGGGGUUAAGUCGUAACAAGGUAGCCG